rnacentral:rRNA from 1 species
GACAGAGGCCUCGAGCGUUAAGCGGAAUCACUGGGCUUAAAGCGUGUGUAGGCGGGCCCGUAAGUGUCUUGUGAAAUCCCACGGCUCAACCGUGGAACUGCUGGGCAUACUGCGGGUCUUGGGCCAACUAGGGGCAGCCGGAACAAGCGGUGGAGCGGUGAAAUGCGUAGAUAUCGCUUGGAACGCCGAAGGUGAAAACAGGCUGCUGGGGUUGCGCCGACGCUGAGACACGAAAGCCAGGGGAGCAAACGGG